rnacentral:lncRNA from 1 species
UAAAGGUUUGGUGUUAUUAAUUAUUAUUAUUAUUAGUAGUAGUAGUAGUAGUAUAAUUAGUAAUAAUUAUUAUUGUUGUUGUUGUUGUUGUUAUUAGUAUUUACCUUGCAUAUAUUUAACAAUAGUAGUAAUAGUAAUAUUUUUAUUAGGUAUUUACAGUACUUUUGAUUGUCAUUUGUUCUAAAUGCUCUUGAAAUGGUAUCUUAACAUCAGCUCAUGUGUCUUGUGUAAGUUAAAGGCUCAUCAGCGUGUGUGUGGAGUGUGUGUGGGGCGAGGAAGGCUCCGCUGGUGGCGUCCGACAGCAGCUCCAGUGGGUCAGACAGUGAGGAAGAGGAGGACAGAACCAACAUCAUCACAGAGAGCGUCCCCACAGCCAAUACCAAGGACAAUGUUAAACUCAGUGUAGAUGCAAAACAUGAGAAGGCACUCUUCAUCAGUGACACUAAUGUCAGAGCAACAGGUGGCAUGGCAACAGGAAGCAUCACUGGUACUCAGUCACCCAAGGAGCAGAAGGGUGACUCCAGUAGUAACUGCCCAAUGUAACAGCGUUUCACCCGCCGCUCGCCUCCAUCCCCAUGACAGCUGUUACUCCACCCAUCAAAUGUUAAAGGCCGUGGCUUCCUGUUUUCAAACACGUUUCCUCUCCCUCUGGCAUUUGCCGUUUCCAUCGGUCUGCUGUAUAGUUACGUGGGUGUUUUUGGUUUGAGCAUAAGCGGUACUCUAGUUGAUCUCUGUCUUCCCUAAUGAAGACAUCUUCACUGUUGGGAACACUGACCUUUGAACCCUGUGAGAGGGGCCCCACUACAGUCUGUGUGUGUGUGUGUGUGUGAGUGUUGUGGAACUAGAAUAUAAUGCACAUCCACAGGUGAAUUCUCAUGUGUGCGUAAAUAUGCUUGGUACAUCUGCAGGUGUGAUUUAUAGUGUUAUUUUUAUGUUUCUGAACCAGUAUUUUCCACUUAGAACAGGCAAGAAAUCAAGUCUGUGUGCAUGAGAGAGUGUGUGUGUGUGUGUGUGUGUGUGUGUGUGUGUGUGUGUGUGUGUGUGUGUGUGUGUGUGUGUGUGUGUGUGUGUGUGUGUGUGUGUACUGAUUUGAUUUCAGUACGGAUUUGUUUGCACUUAUGUUUCCACAGCAGUUAUGUUUCCAGCUUCACCCGUCAUCCACAAAAACACACAUAUAUGAGCAAAAAUAAUUGGGAGCAGGUCUCAAUAUUUCUGUUUUGUUGUAGGCUGAUUUUUAUAUGAAAGUAUGGAUGCUUGUUUCUGCCACAGAAUAAAAAAUAAUAAAGGUAAUUGCAACUUUUUUCCUCAGAAUUGUGAGAAAAAAAGGUUUAAGAUAAAAAGUAGCAAGAUGUAAACUUAUAUUUGUCGAGAUAUAAUCUUGCAGUUCUGAGGGGGGAAAAAAGUACAGAAUUGUGAAGAAAAGUACACACACAUUAUGUAUUUUUUUUUUAUUUCUGUGGAAGAAACAAAGCUUCCUAGAAAGUAUGGAUGCUUGUUUCUGCCACAGAAUAAAAAAUAAUAAAGGUAAUUGCAACUUUUUUCCUCAGAAUUGUGAGAAAAAAAGGUUUAGAUAAAAAGUGCAAGAUGUAAACUUAUAUUUGCGAGAUAUAAUCUUGCAGUUCUGAGGGGGGAAAAAAUCAGAAUUGUGAAGAAAAGUCACACACAUUAUGAUUUUUUUUUUAUUCUGUGGAAGAAACAAGCUUCCAUAUAAAAAGGGAUAGUUCACCUAAAAGUAAAGGUUUACUCAUCGUGUUGUUCCAAACAUGAAUGACUUUCUUCUAAAGAACACAAAAGAAGAUAUUUAAUAGAAUGUUCAUGCUGCUCUUUUUCACAGAAUGUAAGCAGAUAGUAAUUUAAACUGUCAAGGUUAAAAAAAGACAAAAUAGAACCAUAAAAUUAGUCAUUAUGCUAAAAAAAUGGGCUGAAAUAUUGUGGAACUGUUGGUGAAAAAGUUCCCUCCAUUAAAACAUUUAACCUCCAUUAUGAAUUCUGAUUUGCAUUUAUUUAGACUUUAGACUGAGGGUGAGUAAAUGAUGACACUGUUUAAGUUUUUGAGUGAACUAUCCCUUGUAACAUGUUUGUGUAAGGCUGUUUGACUCUUCAUAUUCUUGUGUGUGUGGUUGGUAUCAGAAUGAACUCAGGUGAACGUGGAGUAUCAGAGCGAGUCUGUGUGCAAAAGAAGAACCGAGGGCGCGUGUGCCUUGAAAUAUCAGAGAAUGACACAUCAGUGUUUAACACGUGCACAUGUAUCUUUAAUCACAUCUUCCUAUAUCACUGUCAGGUCUUAUUAAUAAUUGUCAAUGUGUAUUCUUUACGAUAUGUACACUUAAUAUUAUAUUUUUUAUGACUAAUUACUAGCAAACACUGCAGUGUCCAUUUGAAUCUAGAGAGAUAGCAAUAAUAGUAUGAAUAAUUUCUUGGGUUUGUUUUCUUUUUUAUUAGUAAUGUAGCUUUGAAAUGUGCACACAGGCACACAAACGGUUUGUGAGAGCGAGUGUGUGUGAAUGUUGAAGAGGCUCGGUGUGUUUUCAGUUUGUUUUUGCACUUUUAAUAACUUGAUUUUGAUACCAAAUGCAAUGGGAUGUUAGUGGCGGGACGAUAACGAGAGCCCUCGGUCGGAGUUUGGUCUAUGUGCAUUUUUGAGUUUACAAGUCGUGUGUUGUGUAGUUAAAAUUGCAGACGUUUGCAUGUGCGAGUGUGUUUGUGAGCGAGACCGGAGAGAAAUGUCGACUGAUCGGUACCAGGCUCUGUGCUUGAAUGUAAUUCAUAUUUAUACGUUUGAUUUUAUUUUCUUUUAUUAUUUUUGCCAAAUAUUUUCUUUAAUAUUCCAUCUUUCUCCCGUUAUGGAUGACAGGGUUCUAUUUCUCAUUUCUCAUCGUUACUUCAUUCAUAUUUGUGGUUAAAUUUAAUUCAGCACUUCAAUACUGCCACUUAGUUGUGGUCUUUACUAGAAAGACAAGGUAAGACACUAAUCCCCCUUUAUCUCGUCUUCCGCGUACAUACAGGUCUGUAUUAACCACUUUUUCUGUGUAACAGGCAUUUCCUAAGAUGUCUAGAUGUUUAGUUGAUCUGUCAGAUACCGUAAACGGGUUUAGCGAGUUUUGCUGCUGUUAAUCAUUUUUGUCAUUUGCUCCGAUGCAUUAGCAGAACAUGAACGAGAAGGGAACUGAGUUUUUAUCAAAACUGUGAUGUAAGAAUUGUGCUAAUAUAAUGUCACAAUUUGUGAUUCUAAUUCUCACAUUCUUUUAGUUAGUUUCAUAUCCCCUUCUUCCACCACACCACCAUAAAGAUUUUAUAGCUGAAAAAUUGUGAAAGCCAGGUUUCUGUUGUUGGGUUAUUUUCUUUUCAGCUCUUGUAUGUAUUCAUGUACCCAAAAACACAAACGCAUACUGUACGUUAUGAACUGGUACAAUAUUUUGUGUUAUGUUCUGCCUUGAGCAUCUGUCCAUGGUGUGAAACUGGAACACAGGUCUGUUGUCA